rnacentral:rRNA from 1 species
AGCGGCGGACGGGUGAGUAACGCGUGGGUAACCUGCCUCAUACAGGGGGAUAACAGUUAGAAAUGACUGCUAAUACCGCAUAAGCGCACGGGACCGCAUGGUCUUGUGUGAAAAACUCCGGUGGUAUGAGAUGGACCCGCGUCUGAUUAGGUAGUUGGCGGGGUAGCGGCCCACCAAGCCGACGAUCAGUAGCCGACCUGAGAGGGUGACCGGCCACAUUGGGACUGAGACACGGCCCAAACUCCUACGGAAGGCAGCAG